rnacentral:rRNA from 1 species
GUUGAACGCUGGCGGCAGGCCUAACACCUGCCCGUCGAGCGGAGCGGCGGACGGGUGAGUAAUGCCUAGGAAUCUGCCUGGUCGUGGGGGAUAACGUCCGGUAACGGGCGCUAAUACCGCCUACUCUCAGCUGCGCCUAGGUCGGCUUAGCUAGUUGGUGGUGUAAAGGCCUACCAAGGCGACGAUCCGUAACUGGUCUGAGAGGAUGAUCAGUCACACGGGAACUGAGAAACGGUCCAGACUCCUACGGGAGGAAGAAGGGGGGAAUAUUGGAAAAGGGGCGAAAGCCUGAUCCAGCCAUGCCGCGUGUGUGAAGAAGGUCUUCGGAUUGUAAAGCACUUUAAGUUGGGAGGCGUUACCAACAGAAUAAGCACCGGCUAACUUCGGGCCAGCAGCCGCGUAAUUC